UAUAACCCCUUUAGUUUCAUUGCUGAUAUUUUUUACUUAUAAGAAACUUCUAUAUAAUGCGUAAUUACAAAUUGUGAGAGUUUAAGUUCUUAAGAAAAUUUAGGAAACGAAGCUUGAAUUCAGGGUAAACAGAGUGGAAACAUCUUCCCUCCAAGCAUGGCUUUGUAAGUGAUGGAUCAUGAGGUUGAAACUUGAAAUGCCUAGGAGAUAUGUGGUAUUUGUAGGAUAGAAGUAGGAUACGACAGUUUUAUCAAUGGUACUACUAAGCUGGUCCACAAAACGGUUAUGGCCUCUUCAUUCCUUAAUUUAAAGCCAAACCCUAUCAAAGAAACACUUGUAAGGCCAAGCGGAGAAAGAUAAAGAGAUUACCGUUAAAGAAGAGAGUGGUGAGAUGGUGAAGCGUGUCAUGCCAAUCUGGAGUGAUGGAGCUUCCCAAAAGCGGUUCACUUAUCGCCAACCAAGCCAUCAAGGUUUAGGGACAUGCGGAAUUUAGAUGAUCUCAUGUCUGUUUGGUUCCCCACAUAACCGCUUCUAUAGUAUAAAAAGUUGGAAAAUAUCAUCAUCCACUUGUCCAAUACUAUGAGUGAUUUUUGCAUCAUCGUCAAGAUCUAUAGUUCCACUUUUUCAUGACUUUUAUCUUUAAAAUAAAGAACCACGUAAGACAGGUAAUUGCAACGUACUUGUGCUUGGUUAUAAGAGCGACCACAUAAAAUUGGAGUGUUUCAAACGUCAAGUAUGCCUUCCUCAUGUUACCAAAUCUCUUCAAACCCAAACCACCCUAAACAAAACUACAAAAUAAAACCAGAGACAACAUUGAAUAUUCCUAAAAUUAACAUGAUAAUUACAAAUUUGCAACAAUUUGCUUCUAACUGACAUCACUUAGAAAUUUAAAUUUUUUUACUUGCUAUUUUUUCUUCAUUUGCUUGAUCAAAAUUCAUUACAUAAGAUCUGUAAUAUUACCUCAAGAUAACCAUGUCUGAAAAAGGCCGAUAGUCUGUGGAGACUUGUCAAAAGUAUCACAUUGACAAUUGUUGUAAGUAAUUCAAAGUAAGCAAUCAUUCAAAGUAAGAAAUUGAAAUACAACGACUCUCAUUCGGUCUUACUAUGUCCAAAGCGACGACCUCUUGUCUAAGUUGAAGUGGCGUCGUUACUUUUUAAUACAAAUAUAUCCAAUCUCCUGCAUUCAUCCAAGUUUACCUAAACCGAAAAUUAUAUUGAAAAUUCUCAGUGCUUAAAGUUUGUGUAAGUUUGUGUAAAGCAUUAGAAAAGGAGGUGGUGAAUCAAUGAUGAUAACUCAUAGAAUAAAGCAAACUACACGGAAACUACUACAGCCUUUACCUUAGCAAUGUUAUGGAGAGCUUCACAUGGAUAGUAGGAAACUCAGCUAUAUUGAUUAGAGAAGAAGUUAAUCAUAGGUGGCACUGUUGCUCUACAUUCCUGAAUAAAAAGGAACAAUUACAAAACAUGUUAUACUCGAAGUAAGAAAGCUCAACAUAUCAAUAGAUGGAAUUAUAUCAAUGAAUUUAUAGAUUGAUAGGUUAUAGUAAACAUAACUUUCAAAUCUUACAAUAAGUAUAUUAACUACAUGUUAGAAUGCAAAAGGCUUUAAUUAAUAAUUCGCAUUCCAUAUUCAUGUUACGAAUUAGGAUAUAUAGCAGCUUCUGAAGACAAACCAACUGUUACAAGAGCAAAACCAAUUAAUUAUACAACCCUAUAGCUAAAAACAAUUGAUCAAAGGUGGUUUUACUAAGGGAAAUCGAAAACCCCUCGCAAAUGCUAAGAUGACCUCGUUUCAUAUAUAUGAUUAUUUAUUUCCCAUAUUUUUUAUUACUUAAAAGAAAAUUUCAUGUUUUUAAAUAUGAUUGGUGCCCCAUACAAUUUUCUUCCCUAGAUCCACCACUGCCAACCGUUAUUGGUAAUCCAUUCGAGCAAUUCUUCAAGUUAGAUGCAAAAUGUAAAAUCAAAUCCGGUCAUAGUUUAAGCAUUUGAAUCUUUUUUAAAAGGUUAUCUUCAGUGUUUUUGGGAGAAACUGCAGUUUAGUGAUAAUUAUGAGAAUCCAAUAAGAUACAAAAAGUCAGUUUCGAAUGUUAUUUGUUCACCCAAAAAAGGCACAAGUGUUACCUUUAAUGUUUCAAAAGGAUGAUGAUUUUCUGAUAGCUUCUAGUUCUUUGGGGAACAUUUCGUUUAUCUUAGUGAAUGUAGGCGGAUAUAAGUGGGCAUCCAUAUCCAUUAACUGCAGAAAUAAUAAAAACUCUUAGUAGAAUUCAAGGAGAUACAUGGGAGAAAAUUAUAUUUGUUGAAUGUCUUACCUUAGUACUUAUUUCCAAUCACCAUGUCCACAUCAAAACAAGUGAAAAAAAACACAUGCCUUAAGACUGGACAAAUCUUAUACGG
rnacentral:lncRNA from 1 species